GACGAACGCUGGCGGCGUGCCUAAUACAUGCAAGUUGAGCGCUGAAGGUUGGUACUUGUACCAACUGGAUGAGCAGCGAACGGGUGAGUAACGCGUGGGGAAUCUGCCUUUGAGCGGGGGACAACAUUUGGAAACGAAUGCUAAUACCGCAUAAAAACUUUAAACACAAGUUUUAAGUUUGAAAGAUGCAAUUGCAUCACUCAAAGAUGAUCCCGCGUUGUAUUAGCUAGUUGGUGAGGUAAAGGCUCACCAAGGCGAUGAUACAUAGCCGACCUGAGAGGGUGAUCGGCCACAUUGGGACUGAGACACGGCCCAAACUCCUACGGGAAGCAGCAGUAGGGAAUCUUCGGCAAUGGACGAAAGUCUGACCGAGCAAAGCCGCGUGAGUGAAGAAGGUUUUCGGAUCGUAAAACUCUGUUGGUAGAGAAGAACGUUGGUGAGAGUGGAAAGCUCAUCAAGUGACGGUAACUACCCAGAAAGGGACGGCUAACUACGUG
rnacentral:rRNA from 1 species